UUCAUUUUUGCAUUUCAAAUUAUACUAAGGAGUAAAUUAUUGUCAUUAUUAUUGAUGUUGCCAAGGUGCUGUGUUAAUUCGGGAUUUAUUUUAUAACAUAUUGUAGCUAAAUGGCUCCCUGCUAAAGCAUUGUUGGUCUGACGCUAUGAAAAUAAAUAAGAAAACCAUAUAAAGGCCAGACGCAUAUAUUUUCGACAUAGUUUUUGUCAAAAAGUUUUCUAAACUCUGCUGGUGUUGUUAUCGCUGUGCCUGUAUUUAUCUCUUUAGACACAUUAAGAGAGAUUAAUUUGUGGAGAAGGUUUUCUGCUUAGUGAGCAUUACAGAGUCAGAGUCCAGGGGCACCUGUAGUACUCAGAUGGAACAACAAACACUUAACAUUUCGCACAUCGAUUUUGGACCUUCUCCUCUGCAAAGUCAGAGCUGUUGCUAGGGAGAUGCAGGGCUGAUGAUUUUGUUUCCAUGGGAACCGCAUCUAGCAGGAGUCCUCAGGACCGCUGAUGUCCUGGAAUGACAGCACCUGUUUCUGGUAGGAGGCUAUGAUGCAGUCUCGUCUGCAAAAAACAGAUCAAGGAGUCAAGCGAGAUAACAGGGAGCCGUGCAGGUUCUCAAGCUUCCCAGGAGCACGGCUGUUGUCAUGGUGACUGAACAAAGGGAACAAUCUGGACCACACCUCUGCCUUUGCCAAAUGCCUGGGGCACCUACCCAAGGACAAGGUGUGAGACUGAAAAAAACCCGACCGAAGGGGUUCUUGUUCUGCUAAUGUGUGCAUGGAGUCUGCAGGCAGCUGCAGUCGGCAGGUUUAUUUACAGCUUGGCAUGAGUUCGUAGCUUCGCUUGAUUCGAGCGGCGCCGCCGUGGGCCUGGACAACACUUCAGUCAAGGUCAGGGACCAAUUUGUAAUGAGAUUGGGUUAAUUUAGGAUUCCCAUAAGGAAUCUGUUGGUCUUGUCUGUCGUGGUACUGAAUGUUCAGGCUCUGGGCUGAGAAGGAGGGUGAGAUUGUCUUAAGCUUUUGCAAAUGCUAGCAUGCAUUUCUAUUGUUGUGUUUCAGCUUGCACAGAGUAAUACCUGAGUAAGUAAACUAACAGUGGUACAAAGCAGAAGGGUAGAGGCCGAUACUUUAGUAAUAUUGAAGGGGACUGCAGACAUAACGGCUCAUUGGGGAUUAGAACCCAGGACCUCUCACAUGUGAAGCAAGAAUCAUACCUCUAGAUGAGGUUUUGCCAACCAGGUCCGCGAGGACCCCCACAGUCCGCGUUUUUCUCCAUUGCAGCUCCCUGCUAAACAGUCCACAUUUUUGCUACCUACUUGGAGCUAGGAAGGAGCAAAAACGCGGAUGACCUGGGGAUGCCCAAGGACCCGACUGGGAAAAACAAGAUCAGCAAGCCAGUUGUAGGGGUUAGGGAUGCUUGGAGGAUGCAGGAUGGAUGGAGCGGUAUGAUGAGGGGGGUUAUUCUCCCUAAAGCAGGGGCCGUUUCACUGAUAAACCAGGUGGCUCCCUGAAGAAGGGCAAGCAGUCACCUCUGUCAAAGCAGCUUUGGCUUGCAUUUGGUCACAAAUUCUCCCCUAAUCCUUCAACUGCAUAGCCUGCACUUGUUUGCUAAUCCUGCUCCUUAGAGGACAGAAGAUCAACCUUCACUUAAUAAAAGGGGCUUAUGGACACAACAGCAUGCCAGUGAAUGUCACACUGGAUGCAGGGUUCAGCUUUGGGGCUUUUUUCUGUGCAAUGUUCCCCACAGCAAGUCUCUGCAAGUACCCAUUUCCUGAAGGCACACUUGCGUACACAUCACACACUCACAUCCCUGAAAUGGAUUGUGGGGAUGGGACUGUUUCUUUCCUGCACAUACUGUAGAUACUAUAUUUGGGAUAUAUUAGAAAUUCUGCCCCCCCCCCGACAUAAUGUUUCCUCUGGCCCCGCUUGGAUUAGCACUUUAUCAAUGGCCCCCAUCCUAUAAAGUGCUGAGGCUCUUGUAUCUGCCAGAGUAUCCUUGCCCCUCUGAUGCCCCUGGGCUGAUGUGAGGCUUAGUGGGUUAAGGAUGUGAUUGGAUGGUUCAGUUUUCAUGGUUAGCAGAGUGAUUUCAUCAUUGGGUCCUUGACCAAGGCCUCCAAUUACUCUACUCACUGUCUGACCCUGCUCCUCACCCCCCCUCCACAAAAUAAUAAAGUAUAAGCUUUGGA